GCCUUCGUGGUGUAGUGGUCGGCACACUUGACACGUAGCCGAGAGUUCCGUGGUUCGACUCCCGGUGAGGGCA
rnacentral:tRNA from 1 species